GGCAAACGUGGUGUAGUGGUAGAGCAAGCGUCCCCGGAUAGGAUGAAACGUGGGUUCGAUUCCCGCCUGAGGCCG